UCGAACGGUAACAGGAAGCAGCUUGCUGCUUUGCUGACGAGUGGCGGACGGGUGAGUAAUGUCUGGGAAACUGCCUGAUGGAGGGGGAUAACUACUGGAACGGUGGCUAAUACCGCAUAACGUCGCAAGACCAAAGAGGGGGACCUUCGGGCCUCUUGCCAUCAGAUGUGCCCAGAUGGGAUUAGCUUGUUGGUGAGGUAACGGCUCACCAAGGCGACGAUCCCUAGCUGGUCUGAGAGGAUGACCAGCCACACUGGAACUGAGACACGGUCCAGACUCCCUACGGGAGGCAGCAGUGGGGAAUAUUUGCACAAUGGGCGCAAGCCUGAUGCAGCCAUGCCCGCGUGUAUGAAGAAGGCCUUCCGCGGUUGUAAAGUACUUUCAGCGGGAAGGAAGGGUGUUGUGUUUAAUAAACCGGCACCAAUUGACGUUACCCGCAGAAAGAAGCACCGGUUAACUUCCGUGCC
rnacentral:rRNA from 1 species